UAGGGAAUAUUGCAAAAUGGGCGAAAGCCCGAUGCAGCAACGCCGCGUGGGCGAUGAAGGCCUUCGGGUCGUAAAGCCCUUUUUGAGGGGAUGAGGAAGGACAGUACCCUCAGAAUAAGCCUCGGCUAACUACGUGCCAGCAGCCGCGGUAAAACGUAGGAGGCGAGCGUUAUCCGGAUUUACUGGGCGUAAAGCGCGUGCAGGCGGAUUGGAGAGUUGGAUGUGAAAGCUCCCGGCUUAACUGGGAGAGGUCGUUCAAUACUUCCAGGCUUGAGUGCAGUAGAGGCAAGUGGAAUUCUGGGUGUAGUGGUGAAAUGCGGAGAUAUCCGGAGGAACACCAGUGGCGAAAGCGGCUUCCUGGACUGUAACUGACGCUCAGACGCGAAAGCUAGGGUAGCAAAC
rnacentral:rRNA from 1 species